rnacentral:lncRNA from 1 species
UCGAGUCUCCCAUCUAAUGCUCGAUCCACCUCCAUCUGGAGCUCCAUCUCUCUUUGAGCUCCUUCUAGCUCUUGAAGCUCCACGUCGCAUUGGGCUCUCUAUCAGGUAGUAAUAUUCUCUCAUCCUCUUCUUUUCCUCUAGAAUAAUCCCAUCAUCAUGCACUGCCUUCAGGAUUCCUUCACCAGCUAUCAUCUUGUAGCCUCUCGAAUCC